rnacentral:rRNA from 1 species
UACGGGGGGGGUAAGCGUUGUUCGGAAUUACUGGGCGUAAAGGGCGCGUAGGCGGAUAUUUAAGUUGGGGUGAAAUCCCGGGGCUCAACCUCGGAAUUGCCUUCAAACUGGAUAUCUUGAGUUCGGGAGAGGUGAGUGGAACUCCGAGUGUAGAGGUGAAAUUCGUAGAUAUUCGGAAGAACACCAGUGGCGAAGGCGACUCACUGGCCCGAUACUGACGCUGAGGCGCGAAAGCGUGGGGAGCAAACAGG